UCUAGCAUAUAUCUCCCAAAUUGAAGUCUUCCAACACAGCUUUCAGCAGAGUUAGGUUGAGUCAGUACUUGGAUAGGAGACUUCCAAAGAACCCAUAGAUAUUGCAAGAA
rnacentral:rRNA from 1 species